rnacentral:misc_RNA from 1 species
UUUGUUUUUUAAUUAAAAACURGAAUGAAAGGUUAUMCAUUCAAAUUUCUUUAUUAAUUUUUAAUAAAUAAUUUAUAUUAAAUAUAAAAAUAUAUUUUAAAAAAAAAAAGACGACAAGACCCUAUUAAAUUUUACUUAUAGUUUAGCUGGGGAAGCUUUUUAAUUAAAAUUUUUUAAAUUUAAUAAAUAAAAAUCUAAUAAAAUUAAAAUUUUAAUAAAUUACUAUAGGGAUAACAGCAUUAUAUUUUUUUAAAGUUCAUAUUAAAAAAAAAGAUUGUGACCUCGAUGUUGAAUUAUAUUUUCUAUAUUUAAUGCAAUAAUUAUAAAAGUAGAUCUGUUCGAUCUUUAAAAUAUUACAUGAUUUGAGUUCAAACCGGUGUAAACCAGGUUGGUUUCUAUCUUUUUUUUAUAUUUUUCUAGUACGAAAGGACAAAAAAAUUUUUAUUUUAAUAAAUUAGCAAAUAAAUGCAUUAGAUUUAGAAUCUAAAUAUAUUUAAUAAUU